AAGUCGUAACAAGGUUUCCGUAGGUGAACCUGCGGAAGGAUCAUUACACAAUAUUUACGGGGGGCCGGACCCAAGUCUGUCUUCAAACCGCAGCUUGACCCGCCCUGUCUGAUAUUUUACCCAUGUCUUUUGCGUACUUUAUUGUUUCCUUGGUAGGCUUGCCUGCCGACAGGACAACCAUUUAAACCUUUUUGUAAUUGCAAUCAGCGUCAGAAAAAAAUUUUAAUAGUUACAA
rnacentral:misc_RNA from 1 species